GGAGGUAAAAUGCAAAUAUAUCCGGUAAUAAGAAGCCCAGAUUACUGCAGAUAAAAGAUUAAAAUAGGAUUCAAUUAUUCAUCUCCAUUUGCAAAUCUACAAACUAGGAGGAAGGACUAACCCUUUUCCUGGGAUUAGUAACUAAAUUUAAUGAUUACAGCAAAUAUAAAGUUCUUUUGUAAAUUAUUGUUGGUUAAGGAUUGACUUGCAUUGACAACACACUUUAGCUCUCGCCCCUUUCAUUCUCCCCCUGCAAGAACAAAGGCAAAAUGAACAGUGAGGAAAACCUGGAAACAGGACCGAGUGUUUGCUAUCACUUGAUUCCUUUGAAGGAGCAAUGCUUUCUCAUAAUAUAGGUUUUAUAGUAUCAUCAAGUACAUCAGUUAAGCAAAUCAAGUGCUUUGUGUUCUGUAUAUAAAUUACAUAAUACAAGAGUCUGUGGCAGUUAAGAAUCUGGUUCUGCACUUUGGGAGGCCGAGAUGGAGCAAGUUUUUCAAAGUUGUUGCCGGUAUCUCAUGAAAGCCCAGGCUGCUACCAUGGUGAGGGCAAACACUGGCACCAGCACCAUAAAUAUGGGAAUACCACUUGGGUCCCCU
rnacentral:lncRNA from 1 species